rnacentral:lncRNA from 1 species
GUUAGAUUGAUAAUCUUAAUUUUUAUUUCAAUUAAGUCCAUGUCAUUCAAAAUACUGCAAAUUAUAAUAAAAAUUGUAAAAAAAAAAUUAAAUUAUAGAAAUUUUGUUUAUAAAUACUUAAUUUUUUUACUUUUCUUUCCAAACUUUCAAAACUUAUAGUUUACCCCUCAAUAUUUUAAUUUAUUAUAUUUUGCCCCCUCAGUUAGGAUUUUAUUAUUAUUCUGUCAUUUUUUAUAAUUUAUACCGAAAAUAUCUUUCAAAAUAAUAAAAAAAUAUUUAAAAAUAAUUUUAUUUUUAUAAAAAAAUAAGGAUAAUUUGAUGAUUUUGUCUUUUCCAUUAACACCUUACCAUCCUGAAUAUAUUUUUAGAAUUUUAAGGGGGACAAAAUUAUAGAUUUUUUUAAAAGUUGGGGAGUAAAAAUAAAAAAAAAAGUAAAUUUUAAAUACCACCCCUGUGGUUUUGCACUUUCUCACUUUAAUACAUUCUGAUUUAAAAUGUACCAAGUCAGUGUCAUUUUGUUUUAUUUUUAUCUUCUCGUCAGCUUUUUCAUUAAUAUUUUGAUAAAUUAUAUACAAAAAAACUUCAUAUACCGCUCAUAGGUUUAUCGAAUAUUCACUCUAGUAUAAUUUAGUUUUAAUUUUGUCACUAAUUUAAUAAAAAAAAUUAGUGAAAUCUAUAAUUAAAAAAUAAAAAUAAAACCAUAAGAUACUAAAUUGAUACAUUUUAGACCACAUGUACUAAAGUAAGAAAGUGUGAAGUUGUAUUUGAAGUUUUUUUUUGUUUUUAAUAAUGACGUGUUGCAAGUUUAUUGGUUUUUGUGCAGAUGAUGU